rnacentral:rRNA from 1 species
GUGUCAGCAGCCGCGGUAAGACAGAGGGUGCAAACGUUGUUCGGAAUUACUGGGCGUAAAGCGUGUGUAGGCUGCUCUGCAAGUCGGAUGUGAAAGCCCUGGGCUCAACCUAGGAAGUGCAUUCGAAACUGCAGAGCUCGAGUCCUGGAGAGGAAGGCGGAAUUCUCGGUGUAGAGGUGAAAUUCGUAGAUAUCGAGAGGAACACCGGUGGCGAAGGCGGCCUUCUGGACAGUGACUGACGCUGAGACACGAAAGCGUGGGGAGCAAACAGGAUUAGAUACCCUGGUAGUCCACGCCGUAAACGAUGGGUGCUAGGUGUCAGGGGCUUUGACCCCUCUGGUGCCGUAGCUAACGCAUUAAGCACCCCGCCUGGGGAGUACGGCCGCAAGGCUAAA